GGCGGCGUGCCUAAUACAUGCAAGUCGAGCGAACGGACGAGAAGCUUGCUUCUCUGAUGUUAGCGGCGGACGGGUGAGUAACACGUGGAUAACCUACCUAUAAGACUGGGAUAACUUCGGGAAACCGGAGCUAAUACCGGAUAAUAUUUUGAACCGCAUGGUUCAAAAGUGAAAGACGGUCUUGCUGUCACUUAUAGAUGGAUCCGCGCUGCAUUAGCUAGUUGGUAAGGUAACGGCUUACCAAGGCAACGAUGCAUAGCCGACCUGAGAGGGUGGUCGGCCACACUGGAACUGAGACACGGUCCAGACUCCUACGGGAGGCAGCAGUAGGGAAUCUUCCGCAAUGGGCGAAAGCCUGACGGAGCAACGCCGCGUGAGUGAUGAAGGUCUUCGGAUCGUAAAACUCUGUUAUUAGGGAAGAACAUAUGUGUAAGUAACUGUGCACAUCUUGACGGUACCUAAUCAGAAAGCCACGGCUAACUACGUGCCAGCAGCCGCGGUAAUACGUAGGUGGCAAGCGUUAUCCGGAAUUAUUGGGCGUAAAGCGCGCGUAGGCGGUUUUUUAAGUCUGAUGUGAAAGCCCACGGCUCAACCGUGGAGGGUCAUUGGAAACUGGAAAACUUGAGUGCAGAAGAGGAAAGUGGAAUUCCAUGUGUAGCGGUGAAAUGCGCAGAGAUAUGGAGGAACACCAGUGGCGAAGGCGACUUUCUGGUCUGUAACUGACGCUGAUGUGCGAAAGCGUGG
rnacentral:rRNA from 1 species